rnacentral:rRNA from 1 species
UGGGGAAUCUUGGACAAUGGGGGCAACCCUGAUCCAGCCAUGCCGCGUGAGUGAUGAAGGCCUUAGGGUCGUAAAGCUCUUUCGCCUGUGAAGAUAAUGACGGUAGCAGGUAAAGAAACCCCGGCUAACUCCGUGCCAGCAGCCGCGGUAAUACGGAGGGGGUUAGCGUUGUUCGGAAUUACUGGGCGUAAAGCGCACGUAGGCGGACCAGAAAGUUGGGGGUGAAAUCCCGGGGGGCUCAACCCCGGAACUGCCUCCAAAACUAUUGGUCUAGAGUUCGAGAGAGGUGAGUGGAAUUCCAAGUGUAGAGGUGAAAUUCGUAGAUAUUUGGAGGAACACCAGUGGCGAAGGCGGCUCACUGGCUCGAUACUGACGCUGAGGUGCGAAAGUGUGGGGAGCAAACAGGAUUAGAUACCCUGGUAGUCCACACCGUAAAACGAUGAAUGCCCAGUCGUCGGGUAGCAUGCUAUUCGGUGACACACCUAACGGAUUAAGCAUU